GCCGGGUGCAGUGGCACGUGCCUGUAGUCCCAGCUACUUGGGAGGCUGAGGUGUGAGGAUCGCUUGAGCUCAGGAGUUCUGGUCUGUAGUGCACUAUGCCAAUUGGGUGUCUGCACUAAGUUCAGCAUCAACAUGGUGACCUCCCAGGAGAGGGAGACCAUCAGGUUGCCUAAGGAGGGGUGAACCGGCCCAGGUCAGAAAAGGAGCGGGUCAAAACUUCCGUGCUGAUCAGUAUUGGGAAUGCACCUGUGAACAGCCACUGCACUCCAGACUAGGCAACACAGCAAGACCCCAUCUCUU
ensembl:misc_RNA Metazoa_SRP Metazoan signal recognition particle RNA